rnacentral:rRNA from 1 species
UGCGUAGGUGGUGAGGUAAGUCGGAUGUGAGAUCUCCGAGCUCAACUCGGAAAUGGCAUUGGAAACUACCUUGCUCGAGGGUUGGAGGGGGGACUGGAAUGCUUGGUGUAGCAGUGAAAUGCGUAGAUAUCAAGCGGAACACCAGUGGCGAAGGCGAGUCCCUGGACAACUCCUGACACUGAGGCACGAAAGCUAGGGGAGCAAACA